GAUGAACGCUGGCGGCGUGCCUAACACAUGCAAGUCGAACGAAGCACCUUACCUGAUUCUUCGGAUGAAAGUUUGGUGACUGAGUGGCGGACGGGUGAGUAACGCGUGGGUAACCUGCCCUGUACAGGGGGAUAACAGCUGGAAACGGCUGCUAAUACCGCAUAAGCGCACGAGGAGACAUCUCCUUGUGUGAAAAACUCCGGUGGUACAGGAUGGGCCCGCGUCUGAUUAGCUGGUUGUCAGGGUAACGGCCUACCAAGGCAACGAUCAGUAGCCGGUCUGAGAGGAUGAACGGCCACAUUGGAACUGAGACACGGUCCAAACUCCUACGGGAGGCAGCAGUGGGGAAUAUUGCACAAUGGGGGAAACCCUGAUGCAGCAACGCCGCGUGAGUGAAGAAGUAUUUCGGUAUGUAAAGCUCUAUCAGCAGGGAAGAUAAUGACGGUACCUGACUAAGAAGCUCCGGCUAAAUACGUG
rnacentral:rRNA from 1 species